UACAGAGGUCCCAAGCGUUGUUCGGAUUCAUUGGGCGUAAAGGGUGCGUAGGUGGCGGGGUAAGUUGGAUGUGAAAUCCCGGGGCUUAACCCUGGAACUGCAUUCAAUACUGCCUUGCUCGAGUACUGGAGAGGAGAUUGGAAUUCAUGGUGUAGCAGUGAAAUGCGUAGAUAUCAUGAGGAAGACCAGUGGCGAAGGCGGAUCUCUGGACAGUUACUGACACUGAGGCACGAAGGCCAGGGGAGCAAACGGG
rnacentral:rRNA from 1 species